GUAAUGCAAUCUUUGGUAAUAUCCAUUAGUUGAUCAGACCGUAGAAACAACUCAAUCUGCACUUUUCAGUGAUAGAACCAGGAAAUUAGAGAGGGCGUCAGAGCCAAACCAAGCAGGUACCAUUUGUGUUCUUCUGACUACGUGUCAGCAUCACUCGGUUAAAACGAAAAUUUCUGAACCAGAUCGAUGCAUUACAGUUAAUUCAGUUCAGUUCUUUUAAU
rnacentral:lncRNA from 1 species